UCCCAAGUGGCUGAGUGGUAAAGAAUCCUGCCAGUGCAGGAGAUACAGGUUCAAUUCCUGGAUUGGGAA
rnacentral:tRNA from 1 species